rnacentral:rRNA from 1 species
UACGUAGGGUGCGAGCGUUGUCCGGAUUUAUUGGGCGUAAAGAGCUCGUAGGCGGUUUGUCGCGUCGGCCGUGAAAUCUCCACGCUUAACGUGGAGCGUGCGGUCGAUACGGGCAGACUUGAGUUCGGUAGGGGAGACUGGAAUUCCUGGUGUAGCGGUGAAAUGCGGUAGAUAUCAGGAGGAACACCUGUGGCGAAAGCGGCGCACUGGACCACAACGUGACGCUGGAGGCGACGAAAGCUACGGGGAGCAAACAGGAUU